AAACGGUGUAUGCUGUCGAUUGCCACUGCGGGAAGCAAGUAUAGCGGUAUGUUGCAUUCGAAGGAAGGAACGUGGGGCGCAGGUUCUUUGGUUGCUCCGACGAGGUAAGUCCAGUUUUCAUUUCUUUGUUAAUCAGAGAAUAAGCUGGUAGAAAAUAUGUUCGUGAAAAAAGGAAGUUUACUUUACUGCGGUGCUUCAGGGACCGUCGCGGUGCACAUACGUCAUGUGGGUCGACCAGGCUUGGGGGGGUGAGCUUCAAAGAGCGAUCAAGAGGAUGUGGGAGAUGAUUGAAGAGCGAGAGGCCGAAAUACAUGCUCAUGAGGAGGAAAUGCAAAAGAUCCUGGAUGUGCAGGCUGCGGAGGAGGUGAGGCUACGAACAGAGGUUGGCAUCUACAGGAUCUGUGUUGCUGCAAUGGUUGUAGUGGUAUCGCUUGUUCUGUAUCUGUUCGCAAAGGUGUGAGAAGCCUCUGCCCAAGGAGAUUAGGUCGUGGUACAAUCUAACUAGAUUACUCAGCGUGAAGAGAGCUGUGUCGAAAUGGUCGGACGUUCUUACCAAUCAUGUUAUCCUGCGUAUUACUAAUAAGCAUAAAUUUGUUCAAACAAACCGAAGCAAGCUUUCAGCUGGAUAACUUGUACUUUUUCUAUAAUCCAUGUUGUGAAUGAGGAUAUACUUCUUUCUCUAUUGGUAAGGAGCAGUGGACUGAGAAACUCCUUUUCUCGGUCGAUGGAGGCAUAUCAUACGUAAC
rnacentral:lncRNA from 1 species